rnacentral:rRNA from 1 species
UACGGGGGGGGCAAGCGUUGUUCGGAAUUACUGGGCGUAAAGGGCUCGUAGGUGGCCAACUAAGUCAGACGUGAAAUCCCUCGGCUUAACCGGGGAACUGCGUCUGAUACUGGAUGGCUUGAGUUCGGGAGAGGGAUGCGGAAUUCCAGGUGUAGCGGUGAAAUUCGUAGAUAUCGGGAGGAACACCGGUGGCGAAGGCGGCGACCUGGGUAGAUACUGACGCUGAGGUGCGAAAGCGUGGGGAGCAAACAGG